AACCACCUCCAUAGUUAUAAUAUAAAUUCUCUCUUAAUAUUUCUCCAUCUUGGUCUCAGAAGAAGAAGAAGAAAAGAGAGAGAGAGAGAGAGAGAGAGUAAAGUGAGAAGAGAAUAAGAGGAGGUAAAAUUAAAAAAAAAAAAUUGAAAAAAAUUGCGGAGAUGUUUGAGUUACUUGUUCUUGGAUGCACUAGCGUUGUUUUGUUUCUUCACGGAGCCAAUUUCUUCUUCCAUGCGAUCACUCAGCAGAUGAUCUUUCGCAGUACCAGCUUUCUCGGAUUCAUUGCGUGGUAGGAGAGGAUUACAUGGAGUUUAAUUAGGAUACCUAAAAAUAAAUAUUUGUACAGGAUUAGUAUUGAACUCAUUUAAAGAUGUAACUUAAUUUUUAUUUGUAAUAGAUUCUCUCUAAAUAAAUUGUCUUUUGAGUUUCUUUUAUUUGAUUUAAUACGUAUAAAGAGAGAGAA